rnacentral:lncRNA from 1 species
AAAAAAUGUUUUAAGAAUAUUCCUGUGCAAUUUCCGCCUAGGUCUUUUGUACCCAUUUAUUGUUUCGUCUAUUGGAUAUGCGCUUUAUGGCAGACACUGCACUAGGUGCUGAGGACGCUGCAGUAAAUAGGAGAAAACCACCCUAGCUUUCAUUUGCUUUCACAGAGGGCCAAAUGCCAUGGAGGAAGUAAGAGAGCAGGUAACAAGAUGCAGAGCAAUCGGCGACUGAGGAACUUGUUUGUGGAGUGGUCUGUGAAGACCUUUGGAGGGAGUUGUAUCCCCGUGCAGUGGGGUAGGAUUUAGAUGCAAAACGUAGAAGGAAAUGGUGAUUGUUAAAGUAAUUGAAA